rnacentral:rRNA from 1 species
GCUAACCAAGGGGAGUGGUCCGGGGUAAUACGGGGGGUGGGAGUGGUAAUCGGAAUUACGGGGGGUAAAGCGUGGGCAGGCGGUGAUGUAAGACAGAUGUGAAAUCCCCGGGCUCAACCUGGGAACUGCGUUUGUGACUGCAUCACUCGAGUACGGCAGAGGGAGGGGGAAUUCCGCGUGUAGCAGUGAAAUGCGUAGAGAUGCGGAGGAACACCGAUGGCGAAGGCAGCCUCCUGGGCCAGUACUGACGCUCAUGCACGAAAGCGUGGGGAGCAAACAGGAUUAGAUACCCCAGUAGUC